UACGUAGGGGGCAAGCGUUGUCCGGAAUUAUUGGGCGUAAAGAGCGUGUAGGCGGCCAGAUAAGUCCGCUGUGAAAUCUCGAGGCUCAACUUCGAGCUGUCGGUGGAAACUAUCUGGCUAGAGUCCGGAAGAGGAGAAUGGAAUUCCUGGUGUAGCGGUGAAAUGCGCAGAUAUCAGGAGGAACACCAAUGGCGAAGGCAGCACUCUGGGACGUGACUGGACGCUGAGACGCGAAAGCGUGGGGAGCAAACAGG
rnacentral:rRNA from 1 species